rnacentral:rRNA from 1 species
GACGAACGCUGGCGGCGUGCUUAACACAUGCAAGUCGAACGGAAAGGCCCUGCUUUUGUGGGGUGCUCGAGUGGCGAACGGGUGAGUAACACGUGAGUACCCUGUCCUUGACUUUGGGAUAACUUAAGGAAACUUGGGCUAAUACCGGCUAGGAGCUCCUGCUGCAUGGUGGGGGUUUGAUAGUUUCGGCUGGGGAUGGACUCGGCGCUUAUCAGCUUGUUGGUGGGGUAGUGGCUUACCAGGGCUUUGACGGGUACCCGGCCUGAGAGGGUGACCGGCCACACUAGGACGGAGAUACGGCACAGACUCCUACGGGAGGCAGCAGUGGGGAAUAUUACACAAUGGGCGGAAGCCUGAUGCAGCAACGCCGCGUGCGGGAUGACGGCCUUCGGGUUGUAAACCGCUUUCGCCUGUGACGAAGCGUGAGUGACGGUAAUGGGUGAAGAAGCACCGGCUAACUACGUG